ACUACUGUUUAUAAAUACAGCGUGAUGUUACAAGUCGGUAACGUGUGAUCGGCGCGCGGCCAGGGUUCGGAACCGUCAACCGUAUGAUAA